UACGAAAGGGGCAAGCGUUAUCCAAAUUGAUUGGGCGUAAAGGGUUUGUAGACGGUGUUUAUCGCAAUAUGUAAAAAGUGAAAAUUCUUCAUUCUAGCAUAUUGUACAUAAACACUUGAGUAUAAUUGAGGAUAACAGAAUUCUAUAGGGAAGAGUACAUCUAUUAAUCUAUGGAGGAAUGCCAGAGGCGAAAGCGGUUAUCUGGGUUAGUACUGAC
rnacentral:rRNA from 1 species